UACGUAGGGCGCAAGCGUUAUCCGGAUUUACUGGGUGUAAAGGGAGCGCAGACGGAACUGCAAGUCUGAUGUGAAAGCCCGGGGCUCAACCGCGGGACUGCAUCGGAUACUGUAGAUCUGGAGUGCCGGAGGGGCAAGCGGAAUUCCUGGUGUAGCGGUGAGAUGCGUAGAUAUCAGGAGGAACACCGGCGGCGAAGGCGGCUUGCUGGACGGCAACUGACGUUGAGGCUCGAAAGCGUGGGGAGCAAACAGGAUUAGA
rnacentral:rRNA from 1 species